UUCUCCUUUGUUCUCUAACCCGAAUUUAAGAAAAAUAGUGAUUUUUAACUCGUUUUGAACUCUAUUUUUGUGGGUUUUUCAACUAUUAGUUUCUAAUUACUAUUAGAGCAUGAUUUUUUAGCCCUUCCCCGGACCCUGCGCAUAGCGGGAGCUUAAGUGCACCGGGCUGCCCUUUUUUUUAUUAGAGCAUGAUUUUGCAAGAAAUUUUCAGAUUCGAUCCUUUUUGAAAUUAUCAAUUUUUGGAACUGUUUUACCCCCAUUUUCGAAACUCAUCAAUAUGAGUGUCAUUAGACUCCUUAUGACACGUAUAUUUCAUUCAACCCAUCAAUAUGGGUGUCAUUGGAUUCCUUAUGACACGUAUAUUUCAUUCUUGAUAGUGGGUUGUCAUUUUGGGCAUUGAAUUCGAGAGUUGAUCAUCCGGUGGAGGUGUUCGAGUGCGGUUUUGGCUAUCGAGGUAGGUUUGGCUAUCCUUCUUGGGGCUGAGUCAGGAUAAUUAGUCAAAUUCUAUUUUGUAGACUUUGGGAUGAGUUCGUAGUGUAGUUUGGGACUGAUAAUUGAUAUUGUGAUGUUCGUGUGGGGCUUAUAUGUGUUGUGUAGCCUGUGUGGGGGCCUUAUGUGAUAUUUUAUUUGUGAUUGAGACUGUGUAACCCAUGACUUAACUGUGUUAGAGAUGUGAAGAUGUUAUUUGACUUGUAAUGCCCGCUUGAGGGGUUGAGUUGGGGGAUUUGAGCAUGCCUGAGUAUUGAAAUAUUGUUGAGUAAGGGAUGAACACUUAAUUUGAGACAUUUCCUUCCCAUUACCCUCUAUUGAGGGUGAAUAUCAUGCUUAGGUUAAGUUUUGAGAACUUUGAACCUUGUUUUACAUAUUAAGUUGUAAAUUACCUCCAUGCCUUAUAUGAUGUGAAUGCAUUCAUCCUUAUUCAUAUUAUCAUCGAUCAUUGGGAAGUUGAGAUCUGUAAAAAUUCUUUUGAGAAAGAAAUGUAACACCUUUAAAUCCUUAUAUCUAGAGUCCCUGACCGAGGCAGUUUUGCGACACGGUAGUGGAUACAUUGUGAUCCCUUGACCACGAGUAGGUGGCGAGUGAAAGAGAUAUUAGUAUCACGAGUCCUUCGCCACAAGCUGGGUGGUGAGGUAGUUGAUAUAUUUGAGAUUGUGACAAGGUAUAUGGUCUUCGAGACCCCUAUUGGUCCUGCUUAGUAGCACAACUUAGCAGGUGUAUACGACAGGUUGUGCAACGGCCUUGAUCCCACCAUAUCAUCAUAUUACUGCAUCAUCAUAGUGCAGUGCAUUGCAUUGAUACAUGUGAUAAUUGUUCUAUCUGUUUAAUUAUGAUAUUAAGCUGUAAUUAUGUGUUUACUUUAUUCUUGUCGUUCUAUAUAAUUUGGCGGAAGCGUAGCCGGAGUGGGACUUUUCUGCGUGCAGAUCCUAGUCAGGGUAUCCCGCGUGUCGGUUGAUCUUCUUCUCUCGCAGAUAUUUUAUCAUUCAGAUUAGUGGAUUGACUCGAUUGCGGACCAUGAUGAGUGAACCUGGGAUCACUAUUUCAACAGGAACAAAGUAUUGCAUUGACAACAGAAAUUGAAGAUUCUUCUUGAUAAAUGAAGGUACUUAAUUAGUCCAAUCAUUCUUGGAUGUUGAUUCCUCCAGUUUCUCCAGAAUACACAACGCACCAUCUUAUCUAUAUGAUGUCUUGUUGAAGCCUAAUCUAAGAUAGUUGCUUUUAGUUCUUCCAUAUAUUCCCAGUGGUCAAGUUUUGGUGGCCCUAAAAUGUGAUAAAACUAUU